rnacentral:lncRNA from 1 species
CUGUAAAGGUACUCUCUCUCCUUGUAUUUGUUUGAGAAUUAUAGAGUGUUACAAAAACCCCAAUAUCACUACAAAACACCUUUAUUAUUAGAAUCCAAAUCAAUUCAACUUCUUUUUAUUGCAAGAAAAUAACCAGUGAAGCUCACGUUGUAGCGUUUUUUGUCAUGUCUCUAUUUCAUCGUCCUUUAAUGCCCUUCUGAAGCAAGGGAUUCAAAUAUCUUGCAGCCCCUUUCUUCCACCACCUCUGCCACUGUAACUUCAAGCCUCGAAUCCACCAUGCUUGUAGAGUAUUCUUUUUUAGUGUAGUGUAGCCCAACCAUAGGCCCUUCUAAAAGUAUGUUUCCUCACCAAUGACCUGCAUUCGUACUUUGCCCAUGAAGCCUAAACAACAGUCUAUUCAUCCAUUCCGUGCACUUGAGAAUUCCCCCUUUGUCCGAGGAGAUCUAAGAAACCUUCCACUUUCAUCUACCCCAUAAUCUCCAACCACAAUUCAUAAAGACAAAUAUGUAAUGGAAGCCAGCUUUUGUAAACAAGAAAUAACCCCUUCUCAAUAUAGGGAACACAACACUUUCUCCACCCUUUAAAUAAAAAUUUGGCUCCCCUAUCAUCCACAAGCUUAAUCAGAUCUGAAGAGCUCAUUUCCAGACUCACAUCCAACCCCAAGUCUAUAAUGCAUAACUAGUGGAAAUAAAAAGGGAAACUGUGUUAUACAAUAGAAAAUGGGACAUGAAAAACUGUCAAAUGCUUAAAAUUAAAAGCAUAAUUGGAAACUUCAGUAUACUAUUGAAGUUUUAGAGUAUAUAACGAGAAACGCGUCCAUCUUUUUUUUUUUAUAUUUCUUGUCUAUUAUUGACUGUACAUUUUUUGCCGAAAAAAUGCAUAGAUUAAAC